rnacentral:rRNA from 1 species
GACGAACGCUGGCGGCGUGCUUAACACAUGCAAGUCGAACGAAGUGGCGAACGGGUGAGUAACGCGUAAUCAACCUGCCCUUCAGAGGGGGACAACAGUUGGAAACGACUGCUAAUACCGCAUACUGAAGGAGGGGAUUGCGUCUGAUUGGCUAGUUGGAGGGGGAACGGCCCACCAAGGCGAUGAUCAGUAGCCGGUCUGGGAGGGUGAACGGGCACAAUUGGACUGGGGCACAGCCCAGACUCCUACGGGGGGCAGCAGGGGGGAAUCUUCCGCAAUGGACGAAAGUCUGACGGAGCAACGGCGCGGGAGUGAUGACGGCCUUCGGGUUGUAAAGCUCUGUUAAUCGGGACGCGGUACCGGAAGAGAAAGCCACGGCUAACUACGUGCCAGCAGCCGCGGUAAUUC